UUGUGUAGGCGGCUUAUUAAGCAAGGUGUGAAAUCGCACGGCUCAACCGUAUAUACAUACUUUGAACUGGUAAGCUAGAGGGCGAGAGAGGUUAUUGGAAUUUCUAGUGUAGGAGUGAAAUCCGUAGAUAUUAGAAGGAACACCGAUGGCGUAGGCAGAUAACUGGCUCGUUCCUGACGCUCAGACACGAAAGCGUGGGUAGCAAACG
rnacentral:rRNA from 1 species